GCUGCGCGGAGGCUGCCUGGGUCCCCGCCGCACGUCCGAGGGGGCGCCCCGACUCCACACCCCCACCCCCCGGGGGGCGGCUGCACCGUCCUGGACUCGCUCCUCACCUGCCCGAGGCUGUUUCCUCCUGGGUCCCGGCCACGCCCCUUCGGGUCGCCGUGUGGCUAGAACCGGACCGCCGGUGUCCGGCGCCGGACGCAGCCGCCCGCGCGGAGUCUUCCGUCUUGCUGACCUGUGCGGGGGAGCGAAGGAGCUCAUCGCGCCCCCCGAGGCGGUCGGAGAUGUGGAGAGACCGACGCCAGGCCUGGUGGUCCUGAAGGCCACUUCCCAAAGAGCACACUCAUGACCCCAGCCACUGAAGAACACAGCUGAUAAGACUCCACAUGGCUCUCAGCAGUUGGUCGGCUCAGUCAGGUGAGGGCAGCAAGGGUCCCAGCCGACUGCUACGGGUGGGCUGCAGAUCACACAGGCCCUGGCGCCAGACUUCCUGGGCAGCACCUUGCUUCUGCUUCCUAGCCGUGCGACCUUGGGUGAGCGAAUCAAUCUCUCUGUGCCUCAGCUUCCUCACUGGCCGACUGGAGAUGGUACUAACACCCACCUCAGAGGAGUUUAUGAAGAUCCAGUCGUUAGUGUGCAUAAUACACCUGCCACAUAUCACAGAGAGAGAGAGAGAGAGAGGCAGAGACACAGGCAGAGGGAGAAGCAGGCUCCAUGCACCGGGAGCCCGAUGUGGGAUUUGAUCCCGGGUCUCCAGGACCGCGCCCUGGGCCAAAGGCAGGCGCCAAACCGCGGCGCCACCCAGGGAUCCCGGGCACAUGCUUCAAGAUACAGGGGACACGUUGAGCACGACCACGGCAUUCACAACAAUGAGGAUGGUCACCGCCAGGAGGAAGGUGAGGUACCUGCCGGGGUUGGGUAGGCAGGAGGUGGGGCUGGCCCUUUGGCACCUCAUCUCCAGAUGCACCCCCACCCUUAGCAGCUGACUCCCCCAGAUUCAGCUGGGUGAGGGGUUGGCACCGUGGACAGGUGAGGUGGGAGUGGCAGGAGGGUAGUGCCCCGAGUUCCAGGGAAUGGAGGGAAGGAGGCGGGGGGAAGGCACGAGGGCCAGCCUUACUUGCUGAUAAGUGGCACUGCCUGGGAGGUCUCGGGCACCUUCUUGGCCACAAGGAAGAGGAAGACAGUCUGGGCCAGGAGCACGUUGAUGGCGACAGUACACUUUUGGCCACCCGCUGCCCAUAACCAAGAGGCCUUCAGAGCAGAUCUCAAGUUCCCUGCCAUGGGGACCUCCCCUGCCCCACAAGGAGCCCAGUGCCCCUGGUCCCCGGGACAGGUGGUCUCGUGUGUGAUGCCCCAACGCCGUCCCUCCCCACUGGUCCCCGAGCUGCCAGCUGGGGCCAUGGCCCCCCUCCCCCAGGCUACAGCUACCCUUGGCAGGAAGGAAGUAGAUGAGGAUGGCGACCGAGGAGAUGAGCACACAGGGCGCGAUGAUGUUGAUGACAUAGAAGAGGGGCUUGCGCUGGAUGAGCACGUAGAAGACCACCUUCUGGUGGCCCGCCUCCUCGGCCGGCGCGGCCACGUCCAGCAGCGUCUUGGCGGGCCGGUGCCGGAUGGCCCACUCCCCGUUCUCUGCGGGCAGCAGGCCAGGGUGGGCACAGGGAGGGCAGGCCGGGCGGAUCCCCACGGCCCCGGCGACCUAGCUACGGGGCGGCCAGCAUGCGCCCAAAGAGCGCCAUCCGGGGAGACUGGAUGCCUGACCCCCUCCCACCCAAACUGGAGACAUUAUCGUGGGGAAGUGAGAACUUUGCUGGGCCCUUAAAAAUACACUUUUUAAUGAUUUACCGUAGUGCUCACCUUGAGUGACAUGGGGGGGUGGGGUAUGAUCUUAGUCUGGCCGUGCCCUGGGGGCCAGGUCCAG